CUACGGGUUGCUCCAGCUAGGAAUAUUCUACAAUGCACGCAAGUGUGAUAGAUUGAGCCAGAGUGCGUUCCAUUAGGAACGCUUUUGUGAAAUGUAAAAAGUUUUACGAAUAAGGACUGGGUAAGACGAGUGCCAGCCGCCGCGGUAAUACUCGCGGUCCAAGUCGCAGCCAUUUUUAUUGGGUCUAAAACAUCCGUAGCUUGCUUAAUAAGUUUCUUGUGAAAUUCUAUGUCUUAAGCAUAGAGCGCGCAAGAAGUACUGUUGAGCUAGAGACUGGAAGACGUAAGAAGUACGUUCGGAGUAGCGGUUAAAUGUGUUAAUCCCGGACGGACUACCAAUUAGCGAAGGCAUCUUACGAGGACAGUUCUGACAGUAAGGGAUGAAGGCUAGGGGCGCAAAUGGGAUUAGAUACCCGCGUAGUC
rnacentral:rRNA from 1 species